CAUUAUUCCCUGUGGAAACACAUCUUUCCUGGGCAGCAGCUAGGUAUUUCAGCCUCUGCUCCACCAACAUAUGAACUGCUGUCCCCAGAAAUUACGGUGUGAUUUACAUCCAGAGCGAGUAAAAUGGAAAGCCUGACUCCUUUCAGGCCACUGCCUCCCAUCUCCUUCGCCUGCUGCGGCUCCAGCCUUUGCCAAACACCUGCACUGCCACCUUCUGCCUGUCUUACAGAUCAGAGCUGAAUUUCCACCAUGGCUUUUUUUUCUCAUCCUGCCAAAUUAAUGAUGUAUGUCCUAGGAAAAUUUGGAAUACAAAGAAUAAACUGUGUGUGCACAUGCAGA